rnacentral:rRNA from 1 species
UGCGUAGGCGGUUUAGUAAGUCAGAUGUGAAAGCCCUGGGCUUAACCUGGGAACUGCAUUUGAAACUGCUGAACUAGAGUGUGGUAGAGGGAAGUGGAAUUCCGGGUGUAGCGAUGAAAUGCGUAGAUAUCCGGAGGAACACCAGUGGCGAAGACGACUUCCUGGACCAACACUGACGCUGAGGUACGAAAGCGUGAGUAGCAAACA